rnacentral:lncRNA from 10 species
AAGAAAGAAAAUCAGAAAUAGGAAAAAGCUUGCAUAAUUGCUGAAACUAGGGUAGGAAUGCCAACCAUCAACACAUUUCUUCCCACGGUAGUACAGAUGAGGCCACGUUGCUGUAUUUUUCUAGUGAAUUUUGAGAGGAAAUCUUGGUGAAACCUCCCAUGGGAAUGACCAAUGUGGAAGGAGAACAUGGAUUUAGAACUCACUAUUUCACAUGAACCCACUUCGUUCUCCAGAGAUCAUCACCACUUGGAGACGGCCAUGCGGAGUCCAGGUGUAGCUAUGCCAACAAAGGCAUGUGAAGAUGGACAAGAUCCUGCAGUGCAGCUUCACCAGCAAGAGGAAGCAUUCUAACAGUUAAAAGGAGUGUCCUCGGGCCAGGAGCCGUGGCUCACACCUGUAAUCGCAGCACUUUGGGAGGCCGAGGAGAGCGGAUCACGACAUCAAGAGAUGGACAGCAUCCCGGCCAACAUGGUGAAACCCCGUCUCUACUAAAAUUACAAAAAUUACCCGGGCAUGGUGGCACACACCUGUAGUCCCAGCUACUUGGGAGGCUGAGGCAGGAGAAUUGCUUGAACCCAGGAGGCGGAGGUUUCAGUGAGCAGAGUUCACGCCACUGCACUCCAGCCUGGGCAACAGAGCGAGACUCCAUCUCAAAAAAAAAAAGAAAAAAGAAAAAAAAAGGAGUGUCCUCCAUGGCAAAGACAACCCACUUGACCCAGUAGCUGAGGGCAGAGGCAGGGAAGCAGAAACAGACACCUCUCACACUCCAAGACCUCACCUCAUGGAACACUAGAUGUUCAUUCAGAAAACCACAGCAAAUGAAGGUUUUUCUACUGGCCCAUGCAUGACUUUACUUCCAUACCGCCUCCUUCAUUGAAUUAAAUGUGAGAGGGUCAAUCCAGAGAUCCCCAAGCAAAUAAAGGCAGGUACAAGAAGAAUCCAUCCAUAUGACAGUGGACAAAUAAAUGCUCCACUAUCAAAGAAGGAAAUGUCCUUGUUUCAGAAUGGUUACCUUGGAAAAUAUUUUAUUUUGGUAUUGAUGAAAAAAUGUGAAUUAAAAAAGGGAGAUCAAUAUACUGCUUUUAUCAUUUAACUAAUGCCACAAUAAGAAACACAAAGGAACUGCUCAAAACUUAGUGGCCUAGAACAGUCAGCAUUUAUUUAUCCACAUUCAUUUUUCCAGAAGUUGACUAGCUGUCAUUUGGAAUGAUGGUAGCAAUUUGGAAUGAUGGUAGCAAUUUGCCAUGUGUGUCUCUAAUCUAGCCAGCUACAGUGGGC